GAUUUCACAAGACGAGCAAACGCUUUGGCCGUAGAAAACGAGAGCCGCGUUUCAGAUCUAGCGCUAGGGUUUGCGAUCGGUCGAUGUCUUCGGCAUCUCGUUAUUCGGAGGGCUAUGGCGCGAUCCCCUCGAGCUCAUCGUCGGCCGUAGCGCCUUCGUCGUCCCGCGCCGUGGAGAUGUUCUCCCGAGCCAAGGAGCGUGGCCGCGAGAUGAUGGCCACUCGCCGCCCGUGGCGCGAACUGGCCGAUCCCGCCGCCUUCUCGCGCCCCUACGGAUACCGCGACGCGAUGGCCCGGACGCGACGCAACCUCGCUUACUUCCGUGUCAACUACGCCCUCGCCGCCCUCAUCGUUCUCUUCUGCAGUCUCCUCUGGCACCCCGUGUCUAUGAUCGUUUUUCUCGUUGUCUUCGUCGGCUGGUUCUUCCUCUACUUCUUCCGGGACGAACCGGUGGUGUUCUUUGGCCGAACGCUGGACGACCGCCUCAUUCUGGCUGCGCUCUCCGUGGUCACCAUUGUCGCCCUGGUGCUGACCCAUGUCGGGUUGAAUGUGCUGGUCGCCCUGAUUGUAGCCGCCGUCCUGAUUGGGCUUCACGCAGCAUUCCGCAUCACUGAGGAUCAGUUUCUCGAUGAGCAAGAAGUGGCCGAUGGGGGCUUGUUGUCGUUUGGCAGUGGCCGAUGAGUCAGGCUUAUGGUCGGUUCUUAUCAAUCUCGAUUCUCUCCGUCAAAGAUGGAUUUUUCUUCUGUUGAUGAAGUCUCCACUGGUUUUGAAGGAUUCAUGAACUGAUUGCUGAUUUGGAUCGACUGUGGAGGUUUUUUCUUUGCGUGCAUCUUCACCUUCUGGUCAAACAUUGGAUCAAAGGUCGUGCAAACUGAACGUAGCCUUGCAAACGUAUACAAAGAACUCAUUUGGCAAUUAUAUUUGUAGUUUUUGAUAUUGUUGAUGAAAUUGUACUUACAAAUCUUAAAUGGUUCGCAAUAUCGAAAAAUAAUUGUACUU